GAAAGUUCCUCCACUACGUUUCUUUAUAAUAUUCCAUGUAGUUGAUUUAUAAGGAAAUAUACAAGACUAUAAAUGUGGUGUGUGUGCAAUAUAUCGCUUUCUGUUUAAAUAAUAUUGAUCAAAUCUGCUGUUUCUCAUAAUUUUGCUUAUAUAGACAUAAACAACUGUUCGUUGUGAAGUAGAUCGCGUUCACAGCUGCAAAGACGUAGUUCGUCUUCUCAGGACGUGACCAGAACAAUGCAGUUACACUUGAAUUGCUCGAGACGACGACAUACCCGUAGGCAUGACAACAAGGCAGCUAUGACAUUAGAAGAAAAUUGGCCAGACGCAAACAUCCGAGAAGUGUGAGAGACGAAGUAAUUAACAAAAAGAUGACUGACAUAGCUAACGUCAUUUUUCAAUAGACAAUAUCCUACUGCUAAUGAAAAUGAAACACAAAUGCUGCGGUCGUAGCCGACUGGUACGAUGUAGAAAGCACUGAAGGGUCAUCCAGCCAAUCAGCUUAGAGGAAAGACAUAAUUCAAGAUAAAAUAGAAUUCAUAACAGCUCAAUGACUCUAGCAUGCAUUCACAUCAACAAGUUCGAUAUUUUCUAAAUAAUCUGCUCACAUUAAUUACAUCGAAUUGCUAAAUAAAUUUCUUAUGAAUAGAGUUAACCGAAACAAUCGGUUAAAGAAUAAACAAUUAUAGGCUGUUUGUCUAUUACUGUUCAUCGGCUAAA